rnacentral:rRNA from 1 species
UACGUAGGGUGCGAGCGUUGUCCGGAAUUAUUGGGCGUAAAGAGCUUGUAGGCGGUUUGUCGCGUCUGCCGUGAAAAUCCGGGGCUCAACCCCGGACUUGCGGUGGGUACGGGCAGACUAGAGUGUGGUAGGGGAGACUGGAAUUCCUGGUGUAGCGGUGAAAUGCGCAGAUAUCAGGAAGAACACCAACGGCGAAGGCAGCUCGCUGGGACGGUACUGACGCUGAGACGCGAAAGCGUGGGGAGCGAACAGG